AGCUCAAUUGGAUAGAGCAUCUGACUACGGAUCAGAAGGUUAGGGGUUCGAAUCCUCUCGA
rnacentral:tRNA from 1 species